rnacentral:rRNA from 1 species
CGCCAGACUCCUACGGGAGGCAGCAGUGGGGAAUAUUGCACAAUGGGGGAAACCCUGAUGCAGCGACGCCGCGUGAGCGAUGAAGUAUUUCGGUAUGUAAAGCUCUAUCAGCAGGGAAGAAGAUGACGGUACCUGACUAAGAAGCCCCGGCUAACUGCGUGCCAGCAGCCGCGGUAAUACGUAGGGGGCAAGCGUUAUCCGGAUUUACUGGGUGUAAAGGGAGCGUAGACGGCGAUGCAAGCCAGAUGUGAAAGCCCGGGGCUCAACCCCGGGACUGCAUUUGGAACUGUGUGGCUGGAGUGUCGGAGAGGCAGGCGGAAUUCCUAGUGUAGCGGUGAAAUGCGUAGAUAUUAGGAGGAACACCAGUGGCGAAGGCGGCCUGCUGGACGAUGACUGACGUUGAGGCUCGAAAGCGUGGGGAGCAAACAGGAUUAGAUACCCGAGUAG